GGCCGGGCCCUCGGGUGAGGCAGUGGAGCUGGACCCACGCUGACCCCUCGGCUUCACCUCUGCAGCAGCAGCCACCAGCAGCGUCCCUUGGGCCCUGCUCACCUGGAAUUUUGCUGCAGACCCUUUGUAGCUGAUGGGCUGGCUUCGAGCCCAAGAGCUCUCCUCCAGAGAGGGAAGAUAAAACUUGCAUAAUAAUACACGUGUUUGGAUGAUGGCUUCCAUCACUGGAGAAGGCUGGGAGCUUGGGGAAUGUCCAUUUCAGCUAUCUGGAACUCUGUACCCAACAAAUGGACUGGGGGGAGCCUGCAGACUCCAGAAGACUCUCCAUUGUUUAGAUGAGCUGAUUAAGCAGAGGAAGUAUUCACUCACAUUGAGAGAACUGAGCAGCUUUGCUUCUUGUCACUGAACCCUUCCAGAGUUUUGGAACAGCAGGUUUCAUGCUCAACAUCUGAUUUGUAUUUGCAGACUGGAAAUGCAAACAAGCCCCAAACCCAACCCCCAGGAAAUCAUCGCACGGCGGCAACACGGAAGGGAAAGGCACUGCUCACAAACCCAGUGCUGCUGCCAAGGGCAAGUUCAGCAUUUAAAUCCAUGUUCAGUUUUCCAUACAUGAAGUUAUCAGCAGUUAUCAGAACUUCUUUAAUUUUCUGCACAAUCAUUUAAAAAAAGAAGUUAAUUAAGCUGUGGCCAUUUGACUCCCAUGUUCAUUGAACCCUAAGCCAUCAGCAAGUGGCCACGCUUCCAGUGGGGCUCCAAAGCUUCUCCUGUGAUUCCAUGGCUUUGUCAGCACAGGAACGAGGCAGUACUUUCAGUGCUAAGCAAAGGAAAUAGUAUCAAACAGCAACAAAUACUUGUGACAGAGAGAAAAAACUUUUUUACUGUGCAUCCAUUUUCAUUUCUGAACCAUUAUAAACUGCCAAGAUGUUUGUAAGUGCUAAACAUUUCUGCUUACUUUGUGAACAGUCUAACUACAGUAUUCAGUUAUAUUUUAUUUCUUUCUACUUUUUUUUGUGGGUGUGGAGAGAAGAAGGAUAAGAAAAAGGCAGGUUCUAACCUGACACUUCUUGAAACAUUAGAUUUCUUCUCAUUCCUCUGUAUAGAAGUAUAAAAUGCUAUCUUUUUGCUGCAUGCUGUUUCAUAAAGCCUUGCUUUUCUCCCCUCAGCAAGUCCUUGACAGAAUCAGUCUCUUCCUUCCUUUCUAAAUAAACUUAAGUUGAUUGAUAAACAGUGUUUCUAAAAAGAGAGCUUUGUUUAAUUAAGGUGGCUAUUGAACUGAAAGCUCAACUAGACUGGUUUCUCUCGUUUUCUUCCUACUAUGCCAUGUCUUUAAAGGCAUUUCUCUACUAAAUUUUAUUACUUCUGUCUGGAGGUAACAAUAGCAAAGCUCCAUUUAUGCAGGGAGUUGGGACUGACACAGAUACUUAACAGAUGGCCUACACUUAAGUCUUUAUUCUACUGCUGAUGCAAUUAAGUAAUUACCAGGGAUGGUUAAAAAAACCCCAAACCACAACAUUUAUGGCUACUUUAGAAAAGAGACACUGGCAUGUUUCCCUUCAUCAAAACAAAACACAUUUUACACAACUUUUAAGGCCAGGCCUUCUGCUCUUCCAGCCUUUAUUAGCAUGACAUAUUCUUUAAAUUGCUUUGCAUCUACACCUCAAAUAGUCUGAUGUUUACGAUCUGAUUUUUUUUAAUUUGGUUGGAAAAUAUUAUAAAUAAUUAUUUAAUUAAUAACUAAAUUAAAAAAAUUGUCCAAAUAUUUAUGAUACAGCCCUUUAUAGUCUGGCCUUGUUGUGGCCAUUACAAUGUCCUUGUUCUGUUUAUGUUAAACGAGUGAACUUCUCAAAAAGGCAGUCAGAGUGGAGAAAGCAAACAGCCACUGUGAGCAGAGGUGCUGAAUGAUGACAGGUAUCUACAGAAUGUCUGUGAAGAGACCAAGACAGUGCCAAAAUGCAUGUGAUAGAUUAUCAAAACACCAGCCUGCCCUUCAAAACUGGGACAACUCCAAGAAACAAGACUCCAAACUACAUCUAUGCAAUGCAGAUAUCGUGUUAUGACUUUUACUGAAACAUAUCAGUGACACAAUCAGAAAAGACUUCAAAUGACUUUCUUGAAUACAAGGUGUCAAUGUGUAAGAGUUGAUCCUCAAGCCUUGUUUUAUGACAAAACCAAAAUCUCUGGGCAAAUGAGACUAAAAUGCUUGAAUUGUAGAACUACGAAUUAACAGCCGAUAUAAUUAGCUUAAGACAA